UACAUGGGGUGCAAACGUUGCUCGGAAUCAUUGGGCGUAAAGCGCGCGUAGGCGGUUGCUUAUGUCGGAUGUGAAAGCCCUCGGCUUAACUGAGGAAGUGCAUCCGAAACUGGGCAGCUAGAGUACGAAAGAGGGUCGCGGAAUUCCCGGUGUAGAGGUGAAAUUCGUAGAUAUCGAGAGGAACACCUGCGGCGAAGGCGGGUUGCUGGGCUGACACUGACGCUGAGGCGCGAAAGCUAGGGGAGCGAACGGG
rnacentral:rRNA from 1 species